rnacentral:tRNA from 1 species
AUUCAUUAAGUAUAUAUUGUAUAUAAAGCUUCCAACUUUAAGGUUAUUUUCAAAUAAAUGAAUA